AAUAGAUACCCGGGUAGUCCACGCCCUAAACGAUGCUCACUAGGUGUUGGGGAAGCGAUUCCUUGGUACCGUAGCUAACGCGUGAAGUGAGCCGCCUGGGGAGUACGGCCGCAAGGUUAAAACUCAAAGGAAUUGACGGGGACCCGCACAAGCGGUGGAUGAUGUGGAUUAAUUCGAUGCAACGCGAACAACCUUACCUACCCUUGACAUGUCCGGAAGCCUGCUGAAAGGCGGGGGUGCUCGAAAGAGAACCGGAACACAGGUGCUGCAUGGCUGUCGUCAGCUCGUGUCGUGAGAUGUUGGGUUAAGUCCCGCAACGAGCGCAACCCUUGUCCCUAGUUGCUACGCAAGGGCACUCUAGGGAGACUGCCGGUGACAAACCGGAGGAAGGUGGGGAUGACGUCAAGUCCUCAUGGCCCUUAUGGGUAGGGCUUCACACGUCACACAAUGGACGGUACAGAGGGUUGCCAACCCGGCGAGGGGGAGCCAAUCCCAGAAAGCCGUUCGUAGUCCGGAUCGCAGUCUGCAACUCGACUGCGUGAAGUCGG
rnacentral:rRNA from 1 species